UACGUAGGGGGCAAGCGUUAUCCGGAAUUACUGGGCGUAAAGGGUGCGUAGGUGGCCUGACAAGUCAGGGGUCAAAGGCAACGGCUCAACCGUUGUAAGCCCUUGAAACUGUCGGGCUUGAGUUCAGGAGAGGAAAGCGGAAUUCCUAGUGUAGCGGUGAAAUGCGUAGAUAUUAGGAGGAACACCAGUGGCGAAGGCGGCUUUCUGGACUGAUACUGACACUGAGGCACGAAAGCGUGGGGAGCAAACA
rnacentral:rRNA from 1 species